UCUUUGUUAGUAUAUCGGUUAGUACACGCGCUUGUCAAUAUACUUGCCGCGCGAAAGCUGGGUUCGAUUCCCAGACAGAGAG
rnacentral:tRNA from 1 species